rnacentral:lncRNA from 13 species
CUGUGGGAGAAGUGUGGGGGAUGAUCAAGAGGAUGAGUCGGGUCAGAAGGGAGUGGGAGACUACAGAAAGAUAGGAAGGGUGUUGAUCCAUCUGGAGAGACUACAGAAAGAUAGGGAGGGUGUUGAUCCAUCUGGAGAGACUACAGAAAGAUAGGGAGGGUGUUGAUCCACCUGGAGAGACUACAGAAAGAUAGGGAGGGUGUUGAUCCAUCUGGAGAGACUACAGAAAGAUAGGGACUGUGCCCUGCGACCCAAUGUACACCUGGCCCACCAUCGAUCUGGACUGUCUCUAUGACCAUGUUCACCUGUACAGGGAAACAGUCCCCAUCCUUGCCAAUACUCUCGAGGACGUCGCUUUAAACCGCAGUCCGACCUCUCCACCCAGGAACAGCAGAGCAAUCUCCACCCCGAAAAAGAUCACCGGGACAAUACCCCGGACCAGCACCCUGGAACUCACAGCCACGACCACAGCACCACCAACCUCAAUGCCUACCACAGCCAGCGCAGCACAGACCACCCCAGCCCAGCUUCAGAGCCACCCAGACGAGGCCUCCCUGCCCCCCACCGCAGACCCACACUUGGAGGAGGCGCAGGCACAGGCUGUGAGAGGAGCAACUGGCCCAGCUCCCACCAACCAAAUGAGUGACAUUAAACAUGCUGAGUCUACUAUGCUCACAUGUGAUAGGCCGAGGGUCAUGAUGCUAUCUUUGAGAAGAAAAAGAGCCAGGCUGGUUUACAGAGACCUGACUAGAGGCGUGACAGUGCCGACACCCCUGCCAUCAACUUGGAUCGUCAGGGCAGUUCAACCCAUGUGUUCCUGUGGUCCUACGAUGGGAGUGGAGGAGACAAGAUGACCAUGACUGUCACAGCCAGUACAACUCUAUUCUGACUGUUAACAUUAGAGACUGGCCUGCCACCCCCCAACUGUGAGCUGGAGCCUGUCACUCUGAUCCUCCACAGACUGGCCUGCCACCCCCCAACUGUGAGCUGGAACCUGUCACUCUGAUCCUCCACAGACUGGCCUGCCACCCCCCAACUGUGAGCUGGAGCCUGU